CGGACUGUUGCAUCACCGCGGGUCACAGAGCGCGAUGCUGACGCGGCCGAGCGGCACUGUCACCCCGGCUCGCCCAGGAGGGAACAGGGGAGGAGAGGUCGGAGGGGUGGGCAAACACGAUGGACAACAACAGCAAGGCCGACGGAAGAGUGCCCGAUAACCCUCACAGGGCCAGCAACCAACCACCAGGCCCGGGACACCAGCCGAGGGCGAGCCCUGGCGGCGCGCCCCCCUGUGAUACCAGCACCUCCCCAGACGGGACCUGUCCAUUCCCAGCGGCAACGUCGGCCACCAGUGCGUCAGGUGAAACGAAGCGGAAGGCAUGAUAGAAAAUACAUUUUUACAUGACAGCGUCUUCCGUAGAACAGGUGCAACGAUGAUCAGUCUUUCUUCCACAAACUGAGCCUGGUGAUAAUAUUGCAAAUAAGUUGUUACAAUCUAGUGUAUUUGUUCGGCGAUGUUGUACUCAUUAAAAAUUGGCAUUUC